rnacentral:rRNA from 1 species
GGAUGCGAUCAUACCAACACUAAAGCACCGGAUCCCAUCAGAACUCCGAAGUUUAACGUGCCUGGGCGAUAGUAGUACUAGGAUGGGUGACCUCUUGGGAAGUCCUCGUGUUGCAUUCC